CGCGUAGGCGGUUGUUUAAGUUAGAUGUGAAAUCCCGCGGCCCAACUGCGGAACUGCAUCUGAAACUGGGCGACUUGAGGACGGAAGAGGGCAGUGGAAUUCCUGGUGUAGCGGUGAAAUGCGUAGAUAUCAGGAGGAACACCGGUGGCGAAGGCGGCUGCCUGGUCCGUAUCUGACGCUGAGGUGCGAAAGCUAGGGUAGCGAACG
rnacentral:rRNA from 1 species